rnacentral:lncRNA from 10 species
CAGCAGGGAGAGCUGCUCCACCUGACUGCAUGGAGCCUGUGGCAUUUGGGCGGUCCUUAGGGAGGCCCCCUGGACUCCAGGGCUUUUGGUUACCUUGGUUACCCGGCUCUGUAGCUCUGGUGUCAGACCUAGCCUGUAGACAGGAGGAUUGGAGAAAAAGUGGGGAAGGGAGGAGGAGGCGGCACUGUUCCAAGCCCUGGGCUGCUGGAAGACUCAAAGUGAACCAGGUGAAGGAGGUGUCUGGUUGGCUUGUGGGAAAAUAAAACAUUAAGCAGGAUCUGGACUGAGAGUUACAGAAAAGAGGACCUAUGAAAAUGCAACACCAUGGCAGCCAGCAGAGUGGAGUUCAGAUGGGCUCCAGGAGGCGGGGCCAGGCAGUAUGAAGAGGACUGCACCGUCCUGGAUCUGUUACUUAGCACUUCUAUGAAUCCAGAACUGACAGCCACUGGGCAGGAGUGGUCAGCUUUAGUAACCAUGAUGGCAACAGAGAAAUAAAGAAUCCAUUAUCAUUGCUGACUGUGCUGUGAUGCCAACACAGCCUGUGUGCUUCUUUGAAUCCCACGCAACUUCAUCGGGAGCAU